GUGAGGAAUAUUGGUCAAUGGGCGCAAGCCUGAACCAGCCAUGCCGCGUGCAGGAAGACGGUCCUAUGGAUUGUAAACUGCUUUUAUUUGGGAAUAAACCUCCUUACGUGUAGGGAGCUGAAGGUACCAAAUGAAUAAGCACCGGCUAACUCCGUGCCAGCAGCCGCGGUAAUACGGAGGGUGCAAGCGUUAUCCGGAAUCAUUGGGUGUAAAGGGUCCGCAGGCGGUCAUAUAAGUCAGUGGUGAAAGCCUACAGCUCAACUGUAGAACUGCCAUUGAUACUGUAUGGAUUGAAUUCGAUAGAAGUGGGCGUAAUGUGACAUGUAGCGGUGAAAUGCUUAGAUAUGUCACAGAACACCGAUAGCGAAGGCAGCUCACUAAGGCGAUACUGACGCUGAGGCACGAAAGCGUGGGGAUCGAACAGGAUUAGAAACCCCAGUAGUCC
rnacentral:rRNA from 1 species